UACGAAGGGGGCUAGCGUUGUUCGGAAUUACUGGGCGUAAAGCGUGCGCAGGCGGCUCAUCAAGUCAGGGGUGAAAGCCCAGAGCUCAACUCUGGAAUUGCCUUUGAAACUGGUGGGCUUGAGUACGGGAGAGGUGAGUGGAAUUCCGAGUGUAGAGGUGAAAUUCGUAGAUAUUCGGAAGAACACCAGUGGCGAAGGCGGCUCACUGGACCGUAACUGACGCUCAUGCACGACAGCGUGGGGAGCAAACAGG
rnacentral:rRNA from 1 species